rnacentral:misc_RNA from 1 species
GUGAAUCAUCAAAUUUUUGAACGCAAAUUGCACUCUCCGGUUUUCCGGGAGAGUAUGCCUUUUUGGGGGUCUGUUUAAAAAAUAAUCGAGGCUUCGGCUGGGGUGGCGCUUCGGAAUUGGGUCAUCUUCCACCUUUUGGGGUUGUAAUCGACCUAAAAGUUUUCUUACGGUUUCUACGAACGUGUCUAAGAGUUUUUCUUGUACGUUCGCGACAUCUAUAUCAUAUUAGGCGCGGC